GGCCGCCUGGCGAAAUGGCAUCGCGUCUGACUACGACUAUUCGAUUUCGUCUGACUGUCUAAUCAGGAGAUUGCAGGUUCGACCCCUGCGGUGGUCA
rfam:Fistulina hepatica ATCC 64428 unplaced genomic scaffold FISHEscaffold_518, whole genome shotgun sequence.